rnacentral:rRNA from 1 species
ACGAACGCUGGCGGCGUGCUUAACACAUGCAAGUCGAACGGUGAAGCGCCUUCCUUUUUGGUGGGUGUGGAUGAGUGGCGAACGGGUGAGUAACACGUGAGUAACCUGCCCCCUUCUUCUGGAUAACCGCAUGAAAGUGUGGCUAAUACGGGAUAUUCUGGGUCUGUCGCAUGAUGGGUCUGGGAAAGAUAUUGUUUCGGUGGGGGAUGGGCUCGCGGCCUAUCAGCUUGUUGGUGGGGUGAUGGCCUACCAAGGCGGUCACGGGUAGCCGGCCUGAGAGGGUGGACGGUCACACUGGGGCUGAGACACCGCCCAGACUCCUACGGGCGGCAGCAGUGGGUAAUAUUGCACAGUGGGCGCAAGCCUGAUGCAGCGACGCCGCGUGAGGGAUGGAGGCCUUCGGGUUGUGAACCUCUUUCGCCAGUGAAGCAGGCCUGCCUCGUUUGUGGGUGGGUUGACGGUAGCUGGAUAAGAAGCGCCGGCUAACUACGUG